AGAACUCGUUAAUUACAUUCUGGUAAUUCAAAGUGAAAACUAUAUUACCAAGAAAAAGAAAACGCGAGAGGAACUUCUUGCUAUGUUAGGUUUGACCCCGUAACGACUCAUGUUGAAAGAUACAUGGACUCAUGCGUUGAGGAAUCCAGCCUCAGUUUGCAAAAACUUGAGCUGGACAGCUCGUAUGGGUAAAAUGCAGCCCCCCUCUGCUCGCAAGCAGAGGGGGAAGGUAUAGUCUACACUCCUAGAAAUAGGGGA
rnacentral:autocatalytically_spliced_intron from 1 species